AAAACCUACAUUAAAUCUGACAAAAGCAUGGGGGAAAAUGUGUUAUGGUCUGAUGAGAUCAAGAAUGACUUUUUGGCCAUAAUUCCAAAAUGUAUGUUUGGAGUGAUCAUCACAGGA